GGGGGGGAAAGGCGAUCCUGGUGUGACUGGUGACAUCGGACGGAAAGGUUCAAAGGGUUUACGUGGUUUGCCAGGGAGGACAGGCCCUCUGGGUACAGGUGGGAUCAAGGGGGAGAUUGGCGGUACUGGAAGACCAGGAACAGCUGGGGCAGAUGGGCUUCUAGGUCCAAAGGGUGAACGUGGAGACUCCGGCACUGAUGGGCUCAAGGGAAUUUGGGGGCAGAAAG